rnacentral:tmRNA from 1 species
GGGGAUGCAAUGGUUUCGACGGGGGUUUUGAAGACAGAGAUAGCCAUUCGUAGCGGACUCUACGUUAAAAGUUCAAAAUUUUAAAAAUUAAACGACAAAGAUAACUUUGCGUUUGCAGCUUAAUUAAAAGCUGCCAUCAGCCUUUAGUCGCUCACUGCUAAAGUUACUGGUGCCGAAAAGGUGAGGUACUUUACUCUAUAAGCUUUGCUAGAGUAAAAGAUUUUAUGAAGCUACUUAAAAUAAUAGUUUGUUAGUUAACAGUUAUUUUAGGGAAUAUCUUUUAACUAACUGUAAUGGGAGAAGUUUUUGUUGACGGGCUUUCGGACAGGAGUUCGAUUCUCCUCAUCUCCA